UCCCCAAAUCACUCAAAAAUUUAGAUUUCCCACUGUUCUCAAAUUUCAAAAUUUUCAUCCUUUGCCUCCGUCAUCGCCCACUCCAAAUCCCUAAUCGAUAUUCUCUCUCCGCUCGGUUCCUAUCCACAUCCCCUAACUGGAUAGUCGAGUCCUCCUAUCACUUCCAUCACCGAUGAAUCGCGACUUAGUAACCGACCACCCACCACUACACCACCAUACGACCCAUCAUUACCACUGGAAUCAUUGUCGCUCAAAUGCUCACUAGAGCCCUGGUUGGGCAUCAAAGGUGUCAGAAACUCAUGUUGAGGGCUACACAAAGGCAAUGAUCAAGGUUACAAUCUGGUUUUAAACUUAAAAGAAGCAAUGUUUGGUUUUGAAAAAGAUAUCAAAGUAACUUGUCUUGAGAGUCGUGGACGUUGCAACGAGUCUUGUGCCAAACCUAGGACUAGUGCACCCAAACGCACAACAUGUGGUGAUCAAAGUCAACUUGUCUCUUUAGCUCUAUUUGCGGAAUUUUAGCUCCUUGUGUUUGUAGAAUUUAUAGAUUGUUGUAAUUUUUUUUGGAAUAUAAUAAAUGUAAAUUAUGUUUA